UACGGAGGGGACUAGCGUUGUUCGGAAUUACUGGGCGUAAAGCGCGCGUAGGCGGAUCGCUAAGUCAGGGGUGAAAUCCUGGGGCUCAACCCCAGAACUGCCUUUGAUACUGGCGAUCUCGAGUUCGAGAGAGGUGAGUGGAAUUCCGAGUGUAGAGGUGAAAUUCGUAGAUAUUCGGAGGAACACCAGUGGCGAAGGCGGCUCACUGGCUCGAUACUGACGCUGAGGUGCGAAAGCGUGGGGAGCAAACAGG
rnacentral:rRNA from 1 species